rnacentral:hammerhead_ribozyme from 1 species
CCCCAUAGGGUGGUGUGUACCACCCCUGAUGAGUCCGAAAGGACGAAAUGGGG